rnacentral:rRNA from 1 species
GAGGGAAAGAUGAAAAGAACUUUGAAAAGAGAGUUAAAGAGUACCUGAAACUGCUGAAAGGGAACCAAAUCGUUUCCAGUAUCUAUAAUCCGCGGUAUAUUUCAUUGGCGAAUGUGUGCGUGCAUGUACUAUGGCAGCGGCUUUUGCUGCGCCUUGUGUGUGUUUCGCAUUUUCUCGCUGGUGCCCUGUACUGUGGUGGGACGUCAAUGUCGGUUCGUAUGCUGCGGGAAAUGACUGCCGAGGAGGUAGGGCGAACGCUUGCGUUUGUCUGUUACAUCUGGGCGGACUUAGUAGUCGUGGUUGGGACUGAGGUGCCUAUAAUGUGCUUAUGAGUGGGAUCGAAUCUCCAUGUGCGCCGUGUGCGGAUAGCUUGCUAUGCGUGUGUAGCUGUGUGUGGAUUGAGUCGAGACGUAACUUAUUGCCGUUCGGGACGUUGACGAAAUGGAGCGAUUUGACCCGUCUUGAAACACGGACCAAGGAGUCUAACAUGUGUGCAAGUGUUAGGGUGUGGAAACCCCAGCGCGUAAUGAAAGUAAAGGAUAGCGUAAGUUAUCUUAGGUAGGAAAUGCUGCGGGUUCGUCCUGCGGCGUGGCACUAUCGACCGAUCAUGAACCUUCGUGGUGAAAGAUUUG